CAGGCCCACCUGCUAAUGCCCCCUACUUUCAGGUAUUGACCCCUCUGCCUAUAAAGCUUCUCCCAUGAAGGUAUCAACACCUCUCACUGCACCUUCUUCUCCCAGGAAGGUAUUGUUUCCUCUGCCUGUCCAAUUUCUCCCAGGUAUUGACCCCUCUGCCUGCGACUCCUUCCACCAGGCAGGUAUCGACCCUGAUGCCUG